rnacentral:rRNA from 1 species
AUAUCGCGACCGGCGCACGGGUGCGUAACGCGUAUCCAACCUUCCCGUUACUCUUGGAUAGCCUUCCGAAAGGGAGAUUAAUACAAGAUGGUAUUCAAAUUUCGCAUGUUAUUUGAAUUAAAGAUUUAUCGGUAACGGAUGGGGAUGCGUGACAUUAGGUAGAUGGCGGGGUAACGGCCCACCAUGGCGACGAUGUCUAGGGGUUCUGAGAGGAAGGUCCCCCACACUGGAACUGAGACACGGUCCAGACUCCUACGGGAGGCAGCAGUGAGGAAUAUUGGUCAAUGGUCUGACGACUGAACCAGCCAUGCCGCGUGAAGGUGACGGCCCUAUGGGUCUUAAACUUCUUUUGUAAGGGAGCAAUAAGUCUCACGUGUGGGAUGAUGAGAGUACCUUACGAAUAAGCAUCGGCUAACUCCGUG